GAUGAACGCUAGCGAUAGGCUUAACACAUGCAAGUCGAGGGGCAGCAUGGUCUUAGCUUGCUAAGACUGAUGGCGACCGGCGCACGGGUGCGUAACGCGUAUGCAACUUGCCUCACAGAGGGGGAUAACCCGUCGAAAGACGGACUAAUACCUCGUACACUUGGGAUAGGGCAUCCUGACCCAAGGAAAUGAAAUUCGCUGUGAGAUAGGCAUGCGUCCCAUUAGCUAGUUGGUGAGGUAACGGCUCACCAAGGCGACGAUGGGUAGGGGAACUGAGAGGUUGAACCCCCACACUGGUACUGAGACACGGACCAGACUCCUACGGGAGGCAGCAGUGAGGAAUAUUGGGAAAUGGGCGAGAGCCUGAACCAGCCAAGUCGCGUGAAGGAUGACUGUCUUAUGGAUUGUAAACUUCUUUUAGACGGGAAUAACAAGAGUCACGUGUGGCUCCCUGCAUGUACCGUAUGAAUAAGCAUCGGCUAACUCCGUG
rnacentral:rRNA from 1 species